AUACCUUUCUCGGCCUUUUGGCUAAGAUCAAGUGUAGUAUCUGUUCUUAUCAGUUUAAUAUCUGAUAUGUGGGCCAUUGGCCCACACGAUAUUAAAUUUAUUUUUUGAGGGGAAAAAGUCCAUUAAGAUAGCUUGCUAUUUGGGCUUUCACGCGUCGCCUUUGUGUUGCACUAUUGCAUGGGCCUGGCGCACUCCAC